rnacentral:snRNA from 1 species
GGUUGUCAGAGCAAUCCAUCUGUGACAUCUGUCUUCCCAUUGAGUGCCAGAGUUCAUUCAGCUGACCUGGUUGGCUAAGUGGGAGUCCUCUUCCUCCCUCAUGGCUCUGUGUGCAUCCUUCCUCAAGUGGCACAUUCGAUGGAAGAGGACAACCAUGCCAGAUAGAAUAAGUGUACCAGUCAAGGGUACACAAUAGCUGUGGUCUCCAACUAAGACCUCCAAACAAGCUAAAAGAAAAACCUUUACAAAUUCAAAAAGAACCAUAUAACACAUAAGAUGCCACAUCUACUCAAGCCCAAAGU